UUAUCAAAUAAAUAAAGAAAAGGAUCCAAAUGAAAUCAAGAUCUAGACUUAGGGUUUUAUCUAACAGAAUUCCACGAGUUUUGGUGUUUGUCUAUUUCUGCAGGGGGUUAUCAGGAAAUAUGGAAGAAAGGCCCACAUGUCGGGAUUACGUAAAGAUAUUAACGUGCUGCGCAAUUAUCUUACAUCUAGAAGACUCCAGAAGCCACGAGACCGAAGCGGAGGCGAAACGGGGCCAGAGGCAGGGCGCCCGCCCUGUCCUACUGGGCGCCCGCCCCCUCCCUGAGUCCAAUCAGGACUCUGCUUUGCGGGAGAUCUCC
rnacentral:lncRNA from 1 species